rnacentral:rRNA from 1 species
ACGCUGGCGGUGAGCGUUAAGCAUGCAAGUCGAACGGCAAGAGAGGAGCUUGCUUCUCUCCUAGAGUGACGGACUGGUGAGGAACACGUGGGUAAUCUACCCUUAAGAUGGGGAUAGCUGCUAGAAAUAGCAGAUAAUACCGAAUACACUCGGCGCUUCAUAAGAAGUGUUGAGGAAAGGAAGCUACGGCUUCGCUUGAGGAUGAGCUUGCGUCCCAUUAGCUAGUUGGUGAGGUAAAGGCCCACCAAGGCGACGAUGGGUAUCCAGCCUGAGAGGGUGAACGGACACAUUGGGACUGAGAUACGGCCCAAACUCCUACGGGAGGCAGCAGCUAAGAAUAUUCCGCAAUGGACGAAAGUCUGACGGAGCGACGCCGCGUGGAUGAAGAAGGCUGAAAAGUUGUAAAAUCCUUUUGUUGAUGAAGAAUAAGGGGAAGAGGGAAUGCUUCUCUGAUGACGGUAAUCAGCGAAUAAGCCCCGGCUAAUUACGUGCCAGCAGCCGCGGUAACACGUAAGGGGCGAGCGUUGUUCGGAAUUAUUGGGCGUAAAGGGCAUGUAGGCGGUUAUGUAAGCCUGAUGUGAAAUCCUGGGGCUUAACCCUAGAAUAGCAUUGGGUACUGUAUAACUUGAAUUACGGAAGGGAAACUGGAAUUCCAAGUGUAGGGGUGGAAUCUGUAGAUAUUUGGAAGAACACCGGUGGCGAAGGCGGGUUUCUGGCCGAUAAUUGACGCUGAGAUGCGAAAGUGUGGGGAUCGAACAGGAUUAGAUACCCUGGUAGUCCACACCGUAAACGAUGUACACUAGGUGUUGGGGCAAGAGCUUCAGUGCCAAAGCAAACGCGAUAAGUGUACCGCCUGGGGAGUAUGCCCGCAAGGGUGAAACUCAAAGGAAUUGACGGGGGC